CUUAAUGGUAAUUAAAUGCAAUAAAUGAAACGGCAGAAAAAGAAACCUAAUAUCUACCCUGAUCAUUUCAAACGACUGGAUACCAUUGAAGCUCCUGAGUUGCCAUUUCAAUAUCCAAUCCCUUCUGACGAUAGCAGUUUCCAAGGGUUUAAUUUUCUUGCUAUCUUCUUUUGAAAUCAUUUCUCCCAAACAUUUCCUCAGUCUGAGUUUUUUGGCCAUAUUCUCUCUGAUUCUAUUGUGUGGCUUCAGUUCUUCUCCUCUCAGAUCCCUAACUAACAUGCAUAUGCUUCUACUACAAAUGGAGAGGGGAUGUUGUUAUGAAUAAUCGUCUUUAAAGCCAAAAGUUCUCCCCUCAGACCCCAUACCACCAGACCUGUGGCUGAUUUAUAAUUUCUACUAUCAAACGCUGCAUCAAACUGUAUUGUAACCCUCAGUAUGUCCUCCUUGCUUCUGUAAUACCUGUUUAUGUUACCUGGAAACUAUAAUACUUUCGCUCCUUCAUAUUCUGCCAUAUGCCUCCUUAUGUUUUGUGCUAAUUCCCUUCCUGUUGUAAUUUUCCUUUCAUGCAUGAGCUGAUUCCUGGAAAACCAUAUUAACCAUAAAGCGUAGCAAAAGAGUCGACAUUGAGUUUCAGUGCCUCUUAUGAAUACCCAGGUUAACCACUCCUAUAGACUUUGGUUUAUGUUCUCCAUGACCCAGGAUAAGUUUAAAAGUUGCCAAACUUCUGUUGUUGUAGGACAUUGAUGAAAAAUAUGGAGGCUAUCUUUUGCCCAAGCAUGACAAUGGAGACAUCUAUCAUCUGCAAUGACUCUCCUGUGCUUAAGAUUAACAAGGUUGGGAAUAAAGUCCCAGGAAAUUCUCCAGAUAGUAAUUGAGAUUUUAGAGGAUAGUUGUAAAUUCCACAAUUUCUUGUAAAAUUUUUUAGUUACGGCAUGUAAUAAAUAAUUUCUAGGAUCCGGAAUAGCAUCUUGUAAUAGUUUAUAGGUACUGCGUACUGAAAAUUAGCCAGAUAAUUCCCCUUUCCAAGCUUGAGUAUCUUCAUAAUUGGACUCUGCUAAAGGAAUUUGUAGAAUUUUCUGAGUUGUGUUUGCUUGAAAGCUAUAUUCCCAGAUCGAAAUUUUGUCACCAUUGCCCACUCUCCAGCACAGCCCUUUUUGAGGAAGUCCUUUCGCUGCCCAAAUGCUCUUCCAAGUAAAUGAGGGUAAGCUUCCCACCUUUCACUGCCCAAAUGCUCUUCCAAGUAAAUGAGGGUAAGCUUCCCAACUUUGCCUGUAGGAAACUUGAAUGCGUGUAAUAUUUAGCUUUUAAAACUCUGGCUAAUAAAGAAUUUGAAAAAUUAAUAA